rnacentral:rRNA from 1 species
AGUGAACGCUGGCGGUAGGCCUAACACAUGCAAGUCGAACGGCAGCACAGUAAGAGCUUGCUCUUACGGGUGGCGAGUGGCGGACGGGUGAGGAAUACAUCGGAAUCUACUUUUUCGUGGGGGAUAACGUAGGGAAACUUACGCUAAUACCGCAUACGACCUACGGGUGAAAGCAGGGGAUCUUCGGACCUUGCGCGAUUGAAUGAGCCGAUGUCGGAUUAGCUAGUUGGCGGGGUAAAGGCCCACCAAGGCGACGAUCCGUAGCUGGUCUGAGAGGAUGAUCCGCCAACAUUGAAAUGAGACAACGUCCAGAACCCUACGGGAGGCAGCAGUGGGGAAUAUUGGACAAUGGGCGCAAGCCUGAUCCAGCCAAACCGCGUGGGUGAAGGAGGCCUUCGGGUUGUAAAGCCCCUUUGUUGGGAAAGAAAAGCAGCAGGUUAAUACCCCCGCUGUUCUGACGGUACCCAAAGAAUAAGCAACGGCUAACUUCGUG